rnacentral:rRNA from 1 species
AUACGUAGGGUGCACGCGUUAAUCGGAAUUACUGGGCGUAAAGCGUGCGCAGGCGGUUUUGUAAGACAGUGGUGAAAUCCCCGGGCUCAACCUGGGAACUGCCAUUGUGACUGCAAGGGUGGAGGGCGGCAGAGGGGGGUGGAAUUCCGCGUGUAGCAGGGAAAUGCGUAGAUAUGCGGAGGAACACCGAUGGCGAAGGCAAUCCCCUGGGCCUGCACUGACGCUCAUGCACGAAAGCGUGGGGAGCAAACAGGAUUAGAUACCCUGGUAGUCCACGCCCUAAACGAUGUCAACUGGUUGUUGGGGAUUUAUUUUCUCAGUAACGAAGCUAACGCGUGAAGUUGACCGCCUGGGGAGUACGGCCGCAAGGUUAAAACUCAAAGGAAUUGACGGGG